UGACGCUGACGAGAACCACCAGCUCCCUGUGCAGCAGGUCGACUGAGACCGGUCCAUGUCCAAAACGUCACUUCACUUGCUGCCUUGAGGCCGACUGCGCUUCCUCAGAGAUUCAUGAGAUCAUGGAGGAGUGCUGGGACAAUGAUCCCAGCUUGCGUCCGUCCUUCAAGGAGCUCGCUCUGCGCAUCGACCUGUUCAGAGACAGUAAGGAGUUUUAAAAUCACCAAAGUGACCUGCUUCUUCUCAGCCAAGAUGCUCUUAACAUUACAAUGCUGGCCUUUGUGAGGCAAAGGGACAAACGGCCAAAACUAAGGUCCUCCUGCCGAGUGCCAUUUUGGUGGAGCAGUUUGUGGCUGAAGUGUUGUUUUAAAUAAGGACCGGCUCAAAAACUCCAGCCAAGGUGCCUUUAAGUCGGCACUCAACCCCCAAUGACGCAGUUUAAUGGGCAGAAAACGGAGGCUGGGAUGCGUCGAAGCGUUGCUGACAAAGAGUAAACGCACCAUGAGACGUGAGGGGAUGAGGUUUUCACUGUCAAACAAGUGGUGUGUGCGUGUGUGAAUGCAAGGUGUGUCUAUGUAAACAGCUAGCAGGGCUAGCUCUCACCUAGAUUUAUAGGACUGGGUGUUUUUUUAUGUCUGUGUAUAUACCUACAAUAUAUUAAUGUACAUAUCUAUGGAAAAAGAUUUCUAAUUUUAUAAAAAUGAAAAUAAAGUAAAAACUAUAUUUCAACUGCCAGCGAAAUGUCAGUGUAAAUGAAGUACAUACAAAGUGAUUUAAAAUCCGUUAUUGUUUUGUUUUCAUUGUGAGAGAUGUGAAAAUUAAAGAAGUCCAACAUCUUUA